rnacentral:rRNA from 1 species
CAGUAGCCGCGGGAAUACGGAGGGGGCUAGCGUUGUUCGGAAUUACUGGGCGUAAAGCGCACGUAGGCGGCUUUGUAAGUUAGAGGUGAAAGCCCGGGGCUCAACCCCGGAAUUGCCUUUAAGACUGCAGGGCUAGCAGGUGAGAGAGGUGAGUGGAAUUCCGAGUGUAGAGGUGAAAUUCGUAGAUAUUCGGAAGAACACCAGUGGCGAAGGCGGCUCACUGGCUCAUACUGGACGCUGAGGUGCGAAAGCGUGGGGAGCAAACAGGAUUAGAUACCCCAGUAGUCCCUGUCUCUUAUAC